rnacentral:rRNA from 1 species
UACGAAGGGUGCAAACAUUAUUCGGAAUCACUGGGCGUAAAGGGUGCGUAGGCGGUAUGUUAAGUUCGUCGUUAAAGGCUUCGGCCUAACCGGAGUACCGCGAUGAAAACUGGCGUGCUAGAGGGUGAGAGAGAGAAGUGGAAUUCCUGGUGUAGCGGUGAAAUGCGCAGAUAUCAGGAGGAACACCAAUGGCGAAGGCAGCUCACUGGGACGGUACUGACGCUGAGGAGCGAAAGCGUGGGGAGCGAACAGG